rnacentral:rRNA from 1 species
CAGUCGCCGCGGUAAUACAGAGGAUUUAAGCGUUAUCCGGAAUGGUUGGGCGUAAAGCGCACGUAGGCGGAUUUUUAAGUCAGGGGUGAAAUCCCGAGGCUCAACCUCGGAACUGCCUUUGAUACUGGGGAUCUUGAGUUCGGAAGAGGUUGGUGGAACAGCUAGUGUAGAGGUGAAAUUCGUAGAUAUUAGCUAGAACACCAGUGGCGAAGGCGGCCAACUGGUCCGACACUGACGCUGAGGUGCGAAAGCGUGGGGAGCAAACAGGAUUAGAUACCCCAGUAGUCCCUGUCUCUUAUAC